rnacentral:lncRNA from 1 species
CACAGCUGGUCGCCGUCAGUACCUUGUUCAGAAGCCUCUCGCAGCUUCCAUCGUGUGGUUAUACAAUCCAAAUUCCUUAUAAAGUCCAAAUUCAAGAGGAGGAAUGCACGUUUAGUUAAGUUAAUGUCUAGACCUUACCAGCCAAUUUCUAGCUCCUCAGUAUGGAAAUUGCAACUGAAAACACCCCUUCCAAAAAAAGCAGUCUGCAUUUUUCUCUGAGUUUUCUUCUCCAAAUUUCGCACCCCUGACCUUGCUUACACACUCUGGAUACCACCUGCUGUGGAGUGGCGGAAGCAGACAUCCAGCGAUAGCUAAGUUUCCUGUCGUUGACACCCAAGCAAGACAGGCGUGUACCUAACUGAGGACCUGCCGGUGAUAGAAGUCUCAGCUUUUCUCAGAGACAGAUGAGUCUUCCCUUUAAAUGCUGCAAAGUGCUGCAUAGUAGAUGUUAAAUGAAAGUCAGAAAGAAUCAAAUGUGCUGCAAAU